rnacentral:rRNA from 1 species
ACUGCUCAGUAACACGUGGAUAACCUGCCCAAGGGUCCGGGAUAACCCCGGGAAACCGGGGAUAAUACCGGAUGGAUCACUUAUGCUGGAAUGCUUGGUGGUCGAAAGGUGACGCCCUUGGAUGGGUCUGCGGCGGAUUAGGUUGACGCCGGUGUAACGUACCGGCGUGCCUGUAAUCCGUACGGGUUGUGGGAGCAAGAGCCCGGAGAUGGAUUCUGAGACACGAAUCCAGGCCCUACGGGGCGCAGCAGGCGCGAUAACUCUACAAUGCAGGCAACUGCGAUAGGGGGACAUCGAGUGGCAUCCACCUUGGGUGCCUGUCCCACCGUCUAAAAAACGGUGGUUAGCAAGGGCCGGGCAAGACCGGUGCCAGCCGCCGCGGUAAUACCGGCGGCUCGAGUGGUGGCCGAUAUUAUUGAGUCUAAAGGGUCCGUAGCCGGCUUUGCAAGUCCCCUGGGAAAUCCAGCGGCUUAACCGUUGGGCUUUCAUGGGAUACUACAUUGCUUGGGACUGGGAGAGGUAGGAGGUACUCGGGGGGUAGGGGUGAAAUCCUGUAAUCCUCCGGGGACCACCGGUGGCGAAGGCGUCCUACCAGAACAGGUCCGACGGUGAGGGACGAAAGCUAGGGGCACGAACCGGAUUAGAUACCCGGGUAGUCCUAGCCGUAAACGAUGCCCGCUAGGUGUCACGGCGGUCGUGAAUCGCCGUGGUGCCGUAGGGAAGCCGCGAAGCGGGCCACUUGGGAAGUACGGCCGCAAGGCUGAAACUUAAAGGAAUUGGCGGGGGAGCAC